rnacentral:tRNA from 1 species
GAGAGUAUAGUUCAGUGGUAGAGCACAUGCUUAGCAUGCACAAGGUCCUGGGUUCAAUCCCCAGUAUCUCC